rnacentral:rRNA from 1 species
UAUGAACCGUUAUAACCGGCGAUACCCGAAUGGGGAAACCCAGUGUGACUCGUCACACUAUCAUUAACUGAAUCCAUAGGUUAAUGAGGCGAACCGGGGGAACUGAAACAUCUAAGUACCCCGAGGAAAAGAAAUCAACCGAGAUUCCCCCAGUAGCGGCGAGCGAACGGGGAGGAGCCCAGAGCCUGAAUCAGCAUGUGUGUUAGUGGAAGCGUCUGGAAAGGCGCGCGAUACAGGGUGACAGCCCCGUACACAAAAGCGCAUGUGCUGUGAGCUCGAUGAGUAGGGCGGGACACGUGGUAUCCUGUCUGAAUAUGGGGGGACCAUCCUCCAAGGCUAAAUACUCCUGACUGACCGAUAGUGAACCAGUACCGUGAGGGAAAGGCGAAAAGAACCCCGGCGAGGGGAGUGAAAAAGAACCUGAAACCGUGUACGUACAAGCAGUGGGAGCCCCACCACCAAAGCAUUCUCUGGUGUUGAAGGCCCUGCAAAGCAGCAUCGCGGUGGCGGAGCGUCGUUUGCGACGCCCAACACACAAAACAAGCGGUGAAUGCUUUGGGGUGGGGUGACUGCGUACCUUUUGUAUAAUGGGUCAGCGACUUAUAUUCUGUAGCAAGGUUAACCGAAUAGGGGAGCCGGAGGGAAACCGAGUCUUAAUUGGGCGUUAAGUUGCAGGGUAUAGACCCGAAACCCGGUGAUCUAGCCAUGGGCAGGUUGAAGGUUGGGUAACACUAACUGGAGGACCGAACCGACUAAUGUUGAAAAAUUAGCGGAUGACCUGUGGCUGGGGGUGAAAGGCCAAUCAAACCGGGAGAUAGCUGGUUCUCCCCGAAAGCUAUUUAGGUAGCGCCUCGUGAAUUCAUCUCCGGGGGUAGAGCACUGUUUCGGCUAGGGGGCCAUCCCGGCUUACCAACCCGAUGCAAACUGCGAAUACCGGAGAAUGUUAUCACGGGAGACACACGGCGGGUGCUAACGUCCGUCGUGAAGAGGGAAACAACCCAGACCGCCAGCUAAGGUCCCAAAGUCAUGGUUAAGUGGGAAACGAUGUGGGAAGGCCCAGACAGCCAGGAUGUUGGCUUAGAAGCAGCCAUCAUUUAAAGAAAGCGUAAUAGCUCACUGGUCGAGUCGGCCUGCGCGGAAGAUGUAACGGGGCUAAACCAUGCACCGAAGCUGCGGCAGCGACGCUGAUGCGUUGUNNNNNNNNNNNNNNNNNNNNNNNNNNNNNNNNNNNNNNNNNNNNNNNNNNNNNNNNNAUCAGAAGUGCGAAUGCUGACAUAAGUAACGAUAAAGCGGGUGAAAAGCCCGCUCGCCGGAAGACCAAGGGUUCCUGUCCAACGUUAAUCGGGGCAGGGUGAGUCGACCCCUAAGGCGAGGCCGAAAGGCGUAGUCGAUGGGAAACGGGUUAAUAUUCCCGUACUUGGUGUUACUGCGAAGGGGGGACGGAGAAGGCUAUGUUGGCCGGGCGACGGUUGUCCCGGUUUAAGCGUGUAGGUGUGUGUUCCAGGUAAAUCCGGUUCACUUUAACACUGAGGCGUGAUGACGAGGCACUACGGUGCUGAAGCAACAAAUGCCCUGCUUCCAGGAAAAGCCUCUAAGCAUCAGGUAACAUCAAAUCGUACCCCAAACCGACACAGGUGGUCAGGUAGAGAAUACCAAGGCGCUUGAGAGAACUCGGGUGAAGGAACUAGGCAAAAUGGUGCCGUAACUUCGGGAGAAGGCACGCUGACACGUAGGUGAAGUGAUUUACUCACGGAGCUGAAGUCAGUCGAAGAUACCAGCUGGCUGCAACUGUUUAUUAAAAACACAGCACUGUGCAAACACGAAAGUGGACGUAUACGGUGUGACGCCUGCCCGGUGCCGGAAGGUUAAUUGAUGGGGUCAGCGCAAGCGAAGCUCCUGAUCGAAGCCCCGGUAAACGGCGGCCGUAACUAUAACGGUCCUAAGGUAGCGAAAUUCCUUGUCGGGUAAGUUCCGACCUGCACGAAUGGCGUAAUGAUGGCCAGGCUGUCUCCACCCGAGACUCAGUGAAAUUGAACUCGCUGUGAAGAUGCAGUGUACCCGCGGCAAGACGGAAAGACCCCGUGAACCUUUACUAUAGCUUGACACUGAACAUUGAGCCUUGAUGUGUAGGAUAGGUGGGAGGCUUUGAAGUGUGGACGCCAGUCUGCAUGGAGCCGACCUUGAAAUACCACCCUUUAAUGUUUGAUGUUCUAACGUGGACCCGUAAUCCGGGUUGCGGACAGUGUCUGGUGGGUAGUUUGACUGGGGCGGUCUCCUCCUAAAGAGUAACGGAGGAGCACGAAGGUUGGCUAAUCCUGGUCGGACAUCAGGAGGUUAGUGCAAUGGCAUAAGCCAGCUUGACUGCGAGCGUGACGGCGCGAGCAGGUGCGAAAGCAGGUCAUAGUGAUCCGGUGGUUCUGAAUGGAAGGGCCAUCGCUCAACGGAUAAAAGGUACUCCGGGGAUAACAGGCUGAUACCGCCCAAGAGUUCAUAUCGACGGCGGUGUUUGGCACCUCGAUGUCGGCUCAUCACAUCCUGGGGCUGAAGUAGGUCCCAAGGGUAUGGCUGUUCGCCAUUUAAAGUGGUACGCGAGCUGGGUUUAGAACGUCGUGAGACAGUUCGGUCCCUAUCUGCCGUGGGCGCUGGAGAACUGAGGGGGGCUGCUCCUAGUACGAGAGGACCGGAGUGGACGCAUCACUGGUGUUCGGGUUGUCAUGCCAAUGGCACUGCCCGGUAGCUAAAUGCGGAAGAGAUAAGUGCUGAAAGCAUCUAAGCACGAAACUUGCCCCGAGAUGAGUUCUCCCUG